UAGGGAAUCUUCGGCAAUGGACGAAAGUCUGACCGAGCAACGCCGCGUGAGUGAAGAAGGUUUUCGGAUCGUAAAACUCUGUUGUUAGAGAAGAACAAGGACGUUAGUAACUGAACGUCCCCUGACGGUAUCUAACCAGAAAGCCACGGCUAACUACGUGCCAGCAGCCGCGGUAAUACGUAGGUGGCAAGCGUUGUCCGGAAUUAUUGGGCGUAAAGCGAGCGCAGGCGGUUUCUUAAGUCUGAUGUGAAAGCCCCCGGCUCAACCGGGGAGGGUCAUUGGAAACUGGGAGACUUGAGUGCAGAAGAGGAGAGUGGAAUUCCAUGUGUAGCGGUGAAAUGCGUAGAUAUAUGGAGGAACACCAGUAGCGAAGGCGGCUCUCUGGUCUGUAACUGACGCUGAGGCUCGAAAGCGUGGGGAGCAAACAGG
rnacentral:rRNA from 1 species